AGCAGCCGCGGUAAUUCCAGCUCCAAUAGCGUAUAUUAAAGUUGUUGCAGUUAAAAAGCUCGUAGUUGAAUUUCGGGAUUAAUUUACUGGUCGUGCUAUCGUACGUACUGGUUUUAUUGAUUCCUCCCUUCUGACGAACUAUGAUGCCAUUAAUUUGGUGUCUUAGGGAAUCAGGACUGUUACUUUGAAAAAUUAGAGUGUUUAAAGCAGGCUCACGCUUGAAUACAUUAGCAUGGAAUAACGGAAUAGGACGUUUGAUUCUAUUUUGUUGGUUUCUAGGAUCGACGUAAUGAUUAAUAGGGAUAGUUGGGGGCAUUAGUAUUCAAUUGUCAGAGGUGAAAUUCUUGGAUUUAUUGAAGACUAACUACUGCGAAAGCAUUUGCCAAGGAUGUUUUCAUUAAUCAAGAACGAAAGUUAGGGGAUCGAAGACGAUCAGAUACCGUCGUAGUCUUAACCAUAAACUAUGCCGACUAGGGAUCGGAUGAUGUUAAUUUUUUAAUGACUCAUU
rnacentral:sRNA from 1 species